rnacentral:rRNA from 1 species
AGCAGUAGCCGCGGGAAUACGGAGGGAGCUAGCGUUGUUCGGAAUUACUGGGCGUAAAGCGCGCGUAGGCGGUUACUCAAGUCAGAGGUGAAAGCCCGGGGCUCAACCCCGGAACUGCCUUUGAAACUAGGUGACUAGAAUCUUGGAGAGGUCAGUGGAAUUCCGAGUGUAGAGGUGAAAUUCGUAGAUAUUCGGAAGAACACCAGUGGCGAAGGCGACUGACUGGACAAGUAUUGACGCUGAGGUGCGAAAGCGUGGGGAGCAAACAGGAUUAGAUACCCCCGUAGUCCCUGUCUCUUAUAC